rnacentral:rRNA from 1 species
CAGGUCACUCCUACGGGAGGCAGCAGUGGGGAAUUUUGCGCAAUGGGGGAAACCCUGACGCAGCAACGCCGCGUGAGUGAUGAAGGCUUUCGGGUCGUAAACUCCUUUCGAUCGAGACGAACGGCCUCCGGAUGAACAGUCCGGGGGAGUGACGGUACCGAGAGAAGAAGCCCCGGCUAACUCCGUGCCAGCAGCCGCGGUAAUACGGGGGGGGCAAGCGUUGUUCGGAAUUACUGGGCGUAAAGAGUGUGUAGGCGGUGUUCUAAGUCUGGUGUGAAAUCUCCCGGCUCAACUGGGAGGGUGCGCUAGAAACUGGAAUGCUAGAGGAUGGGAGAGGUCAGCGGAAUGUGGCAUGUAGCGGUGAAAUGCAUAGAUAUGCCAUAGAACACCAAUUGCGAAGGCAGCUGGCUAGACCUGUAUUGACGCUGAGGCACGAAAGCGUGGGGAGCAAACAGGAUUAGAUACCCUGGUAGUCCACGCUGUAAACGAUGGGCACUAGGUGUCCGGGGUAUUGACCCCCUGGGUGCCGCAGCUAACGCAUUAAGUGCCCCGCCUGGGGAGUACGGUCGCAAGAUUAAAACUUAAAGGAAUUGACG